CCUCCUAGCCUUCUAAGGACCUCCAUUUGUGCGUGCACAGAACACUGUUAAACGCCCUUUCCCCCUUACCUCCAAUCACAUUUCCCCAUGCCAAAGACCUGCCUGCUUAGCCCAUAAAUACCCCAACCCCCUCACCUUGAGACGGUGAGUGAGGCUUGAUCUCUGGUGUCAUCGCUGGGUUGCCUUGUGAAUAAGCUCUUCCUCCACAGCAAGUCUUGCAAGUGUAUUGGCGUCAGCAUUUGGCUGUCGUGUUGGGCAAACGGAUUUGGUUCGAGAACAGAUUUCUAGAAACAUCAUUCUGGCUCUACUGCAUGAAACAACAUGAAGAGGUCACUUCAUGCAAAACCUUCUUGUUACUGUGGUACUUUUUAAAAAGAAGAAGCAGUCAUGCCUCAUCUCAGUCUUUGCAGAGAUGAUCUUGUGGACUUCUAAAUAUUGAGGGUCAAUUUGUUGAUCUGGAGAAUGUGAAGAAAAGCUAUGCUAGAUAAAGAGGUCACCCAAUCAAAGAUAUGCAAAUACAGAUAUCCAUAAUUCUGUGACCUUUGCUAAGAAAGUGUUAGCUCUUUCUUCUUGAUCCUCAUAGGAUUUGGUUUAUGCUUAUGUUUAGGCUGUAUCACAGGUGAAUUGGUAUUUCUAUUACUUUUAUAAGGUGUGUUUUAGGCAAUAAAUUAUAAGCAAUUUGAGAAAAGGAGCCACGAAAAUCUUUGUAUUUCCUAUAGCACUUCACAAAAUAUGUGUUAUCAGGAGCUUAAUGAUAUUUGUCAAAUAAAAGUAUACAUUUAUCAAGAUAGGAUUACAUUUAUCUAGAUAAAUGUAGCUCAUUCACUGUAGAGGUGAAGAAACUAAGUUUCAAAGAGGCAGUGUCACUUGCCUAGAGAUGUUGUCAGGGAGCCUGAAUACUGGGAGCACUAACUCCUAGUCUUAACACAUUUACCAUCAGCCGCAUCAAUUGGAAUAAGAAGGAUUGCCUUAAUUAGACAUAUGCUUCAAUUAGCUUUUUCUCUGCUUUAUUAUUCUAUUUUUCUGAUUUAGAAAAAAAUCAUGCCAAAUCUGCACUUUCUCAUGAAACAGCCAUUUGAUACACAUGGACUGAAAAUAAAUUGCCUUUCCAAGCAAAUGGGUCUUAGUUACACACUUUUAAAAUGCAAAUAAUGCUUCUUUUUUAGUCUUCAGCCUCUUCUGAUUCCCAGUUAAUGCUAUAUAUUUGCCUUGUAGUACUGCCUUAUGUGCAUCCUGAAAUUUUUACAUGAUCUUUUAUUUUCAUUUCUAAAUAUUUUCUAAUUUUCCUUACAAUUUAUUUGACCCAUGGUAUACUAGAAGAAUAUCUAAUUUCCAAGUAUGUGGUCUUUCCCAGAUAUUUUUCUCCUUUUAAGUUUUAACUUGAUUUCGUUGUGGUAAAAGAACUUAUUUGUGUGACUUAAGCUGUUUAACACUUAUUGCAAGUAUUUUGUGACAGAAUAGGAUGUGGUUUAUUUUGGUAAAUGUUUUCUGUGAAGUUGGAAAAAAUGCAUGUCUAACUAUAUUUUGGAAUAUUCUGUAAAUAUCAGAUACAUUUGGUUGAUUAUAUUAUUCAAAUUUUCAAUGCCCUUACUGAUAUUCUAUUUAAUUAAUUACUGAGAGUGUUAUAUUUAAAUCUUCAAAU